AAGUCCCAGUUCGGAUUGAAGGCUGAAAUUCGCCUUCAUGAAGCCGGAAUUGCUAGUAAUGGCAGGUCAGCAUACUGCUGUGAAUACGUUCCCGGGCCUUGUACACACCGCCCCGUCAUACCAUGAGAGCCGGGGGCGCCUGAAGUCCGGGACCGCGAGGACCGGCCUAGGGCGAAACUGGUAACUGGGGCUAAGUCGUAACAAGGUACC
rnacentral:rRNA from 1 species